CACCGCGGUUAUACGAGUGACCCAAGUUGAAAGUUGCCGGCGUAAAGAGUGGUUAGGGAAAUAAUAAACUAAAGCCGAAUACCCUCUAGGCUGUUAUACGCUUCUGAGGGUACGAAGCCCCACUACGAAAGUGGCUUUAAUUCACCUGAACCCACGACAACUAAGGCA
rnacentral:rRNA from 1 species